rnacentral:rRNA from 1 species
ACGUGGAUAACCUACCUAUAAGACUGGGAUAACUUCGGGAAACCGUAGCUAAUACCGGAUAAUAUUUUGAACCGCAUGGUUCAAAAGUGAAAGACGGUCUUGCUGUCACUUAUAGAUGGAUCCGCGCUGCAUUAGCUAGUUGGUAAGGUAACGGCUUACCAAGGCAACGAUGCAUAGCCGACCUGAGAGGGUGAUCGGCCACACUGGAACUGAGACACGGUCCAGACUCCUACGGGAGGCAGCAGUAGGGAAUCUUCCGCAAUGGGCGAAAGCCUGACGGAGCAACGCCGCGUGAGUGAUGAAGGUCUUCGGAUCGUAAAACUCUGUUAUUAGGGAAGAACAUAUGUGUAAGUAACUGUGCACAUCUUGACGGUACCUAAUCAGAAAGCCACGGCUAACUACGUGCCAGCAGCCGCGGUAAUACGUAGGUGGCGAGCGUUAUCCGGAAUUAUUGGGCGUAAAGCGCGCGUAGGCGGUUUUUUAAGUCUGAUGUGAAAGCCCACGGCUCAACCGUGGAGGGUCAUUGGAAACUGGAAAACUUGAGUGCAGAAGAGGAAAGUGGAAUUCCAUGUGUAGCGGUGAAAUGCGCAGAGAUAUGGAGGAACACCAGUGGCGAAGGCGACUUUCUGGUCUGUAACUGACGCUGUUGUGCGAAAGCGUGGGGAUCAAACAGGAUUAGAUACCCUGGUAGUCCACGCCGUAAACGAUGAGUGCUAAGUGUUAGGGGGUUUCCGCCCCUUAGUGCUGCAGCUAACGCAUUAAGCACUCCGCCUGGGGAGUACGACCGCAAG